AAGUUAGAGGCUAACUCCAAGUAUAUGACUUUAUUCAGCUUCAUCUUCCCUAUGGCCUAUAGGCCCCUACCCCAUUAUCCUUCAAGAGUUGUUUCUGAGGAUCAAAGGAAGAGACCUAGAGAAAAGCUCUAGGGGUUAACAGAGUGAAGGACUUUGGCUUCCAAGACAAAAGCCUCUAACGCAGGUCUGGCUGUCCAGCCCCUUCAAGGUUCUGUAGCAUUGCUCAUCCACUGAUAAGAACCCUUUGCUGGCUCCCCUGUGGUGGCACUUCUUAGACCACAGCGACUGAUCACUUCCAGAGCUGGCUCUCCAUUCACUCAUGAGGACAGGAACUGAGUCUCGUUCAUCUAUUCUAGGCCAUGUCUGGCACACAGACAUGCUCAGGAAUCAUGUGUAUCAUCCGAAUCAGUAAGCAAAUGAAUCGAUAGGUCCUAGAAAGUGCAAGCCUAGUUUGUGCUGAAGUAAUCGAUCUGAUGGAUGUGUCAGUAAGAAAUCCCACGAUGAUGGAGUAUCUGGUCCAUCCGCUGCUUUGCCCUCUCCCUACCACACCAGUCAAUUUGUCAGCAGUCAGCACAAAAGGAAAAUGUGCUAUUUGGAGAAGAAAGUUACCCAGAGGUCUAUACUGGUACUGAUUUUGACCCAGUCCUCUGUCCUUCCCAUAUAAUGAAUUUUUUGGAGACAGGAUCUCAUGAUGUAACCUAGGCUGAUGCUGAAUCCACGAUCCACUCACCAUCUUCCUGCUGUAGCCUCCUGAGUCUGUGAAUUAAUGUUUGGUAACAUGUUCACCUAUCUCUCCAUUGUCAUCACUCUAUUUCUUCUGCCUUUCUUACCUUCUCUUCCUUCUAUUUAGACAUUUCUCAUCCUUUAUGACAGCUAUAUUGCUUCUCAUCAUCUUCUUGAAGUCCAGUCUGUACCUUCACAAUCCCCAAUUCCCACUUCAGAAUUCCCAUCAUCCUAGACAGUCAAGUACCCUAUGCUAUUCCCUUAGUGGAGAUAUUCCUGCCCACGUCUAUAUUCCCUACUAGAUAAGCCCUUCAAGGCCUGAGGCCUUCACCAUUGUCUCCUAGCACCUAGCACACUGCACCCUGCCAAGAGAUAAGCAUUCAGUGCUUUUAGACUUUACAAAGUACCUCAAGAGAGAAUUGAAGUCCUCGAAGUGCCCCGGGACCUCGUUCUAUCUCUUUGCACAUUAGUUAGAUAGAAGAGAUUUAUUUUACUUGGUUGUCGAAAAAAGUCAUUGCUCAUCAAACAAUAGGAAGAUCACAGUGAGGGAUAUCUUCUACAAAACCUACUGCUUCCAAACAAAUCACAAAGACACUCACCUGGGCAGGGUCAUAAAUUUAAAUAUUUACUAAGGGGCCUUAUUGUAUGGUGGGACUCACCCAUGGUACCGCGAGGAAACAGAGAAAGGAGUACAUUCUCUAUGAAGGGAGUUCAUUCUCUAUGAACUGGAUUAGGUCUACUUGGAACACAUGAAGCUUUGAGGGCCAAGAAUUCAAGUUUUCCAGAUGGAAAUGUUCCGCAGAUGACUUGAAAUGCAAGUCAGAGAAGGGGACAAAUUUCAUCCGGGUCCACACUUGCAGGGCCCCUGCAGACAUUUAAUCAAAAUGGCAACAGAAAAUGUGUGCUUUGGCAGAGAGAAAGAGAGGCUGAAGAUGUGACAGGAGACUGUACUUCAGACACAGAUGAAGUGGGAGGGUCCACCCUAAGGAUUGGGGAAGCAAUGGUAGAUGGUGAUGGGGAGGAUCUAAGGGGGAGGAGAGCUUGGCAUGUGAUGAUAUAGGAUCAAAUAUGAUGAAUGGUAACUGAGAAGCAAACAUUAUAUUGGACAAUUGGGAGGUCACCGUUGGUCCUUGAUCUCUCUGUGUACCCUACUGGCACAGGAACUAGGGCCCAAGCUCAUGCUAGGAAAGCACUUUCCCACAGAGCUCCACUCCCAGUCCUUUUAAACUUGAUUUUGAGAUAGGAUCACACUAAGUUGCCCAGGCUGACCUGGACCUCAUUCUGUAGCCCAGGAAGAUCUUGAACCUGCCGUCCUCUUGCCUCAGCAUCCUGAGAUUACAAGCUUUCUCUACCAGGCUUAAUACUUUUAGUCUCCUAAUACAGUAGUAGCAGCAAAUGAAGAUAGAACACAGCUGACUUAAGCUCUGCCCUCCCCACUACCCAGUACCCUCCGUACACUGGAAGUUGAGUAUGGCACAUUUUCUAGACCCAGCCUCAGAAACUUCUUUGACAGCAGUCACUACCAAUGAAAUGAGAGCAAUCACUAAACUGAAGUUUCAUAGGGUGUUGGGAGGAAGCAAAACUGCGAUAUGCUGAAGUGUCUGAGCAAGAAUUGAUCAAGGAGGUGAGGACAGCAUGUCAGGUAGCUUAGGGAUAUAGAAAGGGUAAUUGCUUAGCCGGUCCACCAAGGUAAUGGUUACUUUUCCUCCAGCAGAAUAUGUUUCCAAAGUCAUCUUAAUAUUUGUCCAGCAAACAAGCCAGAUAAAACAAUACCCCUGUGUAAUCCCAUCUUUUAUCACCAUCCUUGGCCAAAGGAAAGCUGAAUGU
rnacentral:lncRNA from 1 species